CGACGUGAGAAUCUGCCUUCAGGUUGGGGACAACAGUUGGAAACGACUGCUAAUACCCAAUGUGCCGAGAGGUGAAAGCUUUAGUGCCUGAGGAUGAGCUCGCGUCUGAUUAGCUAGUUGGAGUGGUAAUGGCACACCAAGGCGACGAUCAGUAGCUGGUCUGAGAGGAUGAGCAGCCACACUGGGACUGAGACACGGCCCAG
rnacentral:rRNA from 1 species